UGUUAGGAUUGUGUCCUAGCCACUUUUCUAUUUUUGUGAUAUGUUCUUGUAGUAAUGUAACUGCUGUUGCAGGGUUGGUGUGCCUGACUAGUACCGCUGUGUCGCGCGCGAAUGUCAGUAUUU